AUGCUCAGAAUGCUCAAGGUUGGCCACAACAACCUCAUCGGGACUCUCCCAGAUGAACUCUUCGAUGCUACCUCGUUAGAGUUCCUCUCUUUCCCCAGGAGUGGUUUACAAGGAACACUUGAAGACAUGAAUAUUGCCAAACUCACCAAUUUGGCUACCCUUGAUCUAGGAGAGAACAACUUCAAUGGCAAGAUUCCGGAGUCUAUAGGUCAUCUCAAGAGAUUGGAGGGGCUCCAUUUGAACAAUAAUAACAUGUAUGGGCAGCUGCCAUCAGCUUUGGCCAACUGCACAAAUCUCAUAAUCAUCGACCUCAGCUACAACAAUUUCAACGGGCAACUCACCAAGGUCAAUUUUUCCAACCUACGCAAUCUCAUGUCUUUAGAUCUUAUACAGAACAACUUCAAUGGCACAAUUCCAGAAAGUAUCUACACUUGCAUAAAUCUAGUUGCACUGCGACUAGCUUACAAUAAUUUCCACGGCCAGCUAGCCAAAGGGCUCGGCAAUCUGAAGUCCCUGUCGUUCCUAUCACUUUACUAUAACAAUCUUACAAACAGAACACAUGCACUUCAGAUUCUUGGGAGCUCCAAAAACCUCACCACCCUUCUUAUUGGGCGCAACUUCCAACAUGAGACCAUGCCAGUCGAUGACAUCAUUGGCAGUUUUGAAAAUCUUAGGUUUCUUGCUAUAGGUAAUUGCCCAUUAUCUGGAAAAAUACCUUUCUGGAUAUCAAAGCUAGCAAAUUUAGAGAUACUAAUAUUGUCUAACAAUCAACUCACCGGAACAAUACCAGCCUGGAUAAAAACUCUAAGCCAUGUUUUCUAUCUUGACAUAUCAAACAACAGCCUCAUAGGGGAAAUUCCAACAGCAUUGAUGGAUAUGCCAAUGCUAAAGUCAGUAAACUCAAGGGUAUUCAUACUGCCUGUUUAUCCAGCUCAAACACACCAAUAUCGCCAAGCCUUCGCUUUCCCAAUAUUGUUGGAUCUAAGCAACAAUAAGUUCACUGGUGAGAUUCCCUUGGAGAUUGGUCAGUUAAAAUCCCUCCAUUCACUUAAUUUGAGCUUCAAUGACUUAACAGGACAGAUUCCGGGACCAAUAUUCAAUCUCACAGACCUGCAGGUUCUAGACUUGUCGAACAACAAUCUCACGGGUGCAAUCCCAGCUACAUUGAACAGCCUGCACUUCCUUGCAGUGUUUAAUGUUUCUAACAAUGAUCUAGAAGGUCCUAUUCCAUUUGGAGGACAGUUUAACACAUUUGGGUCUUCAAGCUUUGAUGGGAAUGCAAAACUCUGCGGGUCUAUGCUCAUUCACGAAUGCGGUUCAGAAGAAGCACCUCCAGCCACUGUUAUAUCAACAAAACAAACUGAUUACAAGGUAGCAUUUGUGAUUGCCUUCAGUGCGUUCUUUGGUGUAGGGGUGUUGUAUGAUCAGAUAGUCCUGUCGAGGUAUAUUGGCUAG
rnacentral:rRNA from 1 species